rnacentral:lncRNA from 1 species
CCACUUUUAAUACCUAAAAAAAACAAUAAAAGAAUUUAAUUACAAAACAAAACAAUUUAUACCGACAACUACUAACAAAUACUAAACAUAAACAAAGUAGAUACCUAUGACAAAUCUAAAAUACUAAAUUCGGCUAGCGUCGAAAUCAAUCGACGACUAAGGCAACCACACCACUCCUUCCUCCAUCAAUUUCUCGGCCUCAAUUCCUGUCGCCCCCAUCAAUACGUUUGUGCUAAUGGUCUCCUUCUUGAUGAUGUUGCUUUCUGCUACAUCGGCUGCAAGGCUAGCAGCAACUUCACUGCAACACAAGAAGGCUGCAAAUGCCACCGCUACUACGGCGUCGUUCAAAUCUACACUGCCAACCUAUUAUCCCGCUUGCGAUGGUAUGAUUUUGAUAUAAAAAAUCUUAAAAACUUUUGACUCAUAAAUAAAGAACAGUUAAUUACUCUGGUAGGUUGGAGAGAAGGAAACAUGGUAGGGAUUGGAUGUGAAGGAGGUGAUGAGGAGGAGGAGACGAAUUUUGGGAGUUUGAUGUGAAGGGGUUGAUAAGAGGAGAAGAUACUAGAUGGCGGUUUUUUUUAAGUAAUCGCUAAAUAGAAUAGAAAAUUUUAAUUAAAUAAUAAUUUUAUAUAUACG